rnacentral:rRNA from 1 species
GACGAACGCUGGCGGCGUGCUUAACACAUGCAAGUCGAACGGAAAGGCCCUGCUUUUGUGGGGUGCUCGAGUGGCGAACGGGUGAGUAACACGUGAGUAACCUGCCCUUGACUUUGGGAUAACUUCAGGAAACUGGGGCUAAUACCGGAUAGGAGCUCCUGCUGCAUGGUGGGGGUUGGAAAGUUUCGGCGGUUGGGGAUGGACUCGCGGCUUAUCAGCUUGUUGGUGGGGUAGUGGCUUACCAAGGCUUUGACGGGUAGCCGGCCUGAGAGGGUGACCGGCCACAUUAGGACUGAGAUACGGCCCAGACUCCUACGGGAGGCAGCGGUGGGGAGUAUUGCACAAUGGGAGGAAGCCUGAUGCAGCAACGCCGCGUGCGGGAUGACGGCCUUCGGGUUGUAAACCGCUUUCGCCUGUGACGAAGCGUGAGUGACGGUAAUGGAUAAAGAAGCACCGGCUAACUACGUG